rnacentral:lncRNA from 1 species
CCCGAUUCAAAGAGCUAUUGGAGAAGCCUGUCAGAUUGAAGCCUGGUUGGCCCGAUAAGCAAGAAAUGGGCUAAUAUGGUAACUAAUCUUAGAAGAUAGAGGGAAUCAUAUCUUGUAAAGAUUAGAUUUGAUUUGAUAAGGUUUAUCUUGUAAAUCUCUAAAAUUAAGGGAUAUGGUUAAAUCCCAUCCGUCGAUGUAAAUGUAUCUUGAUCGUCGGUUUUUGGGGAGCUCAACUAUAAAUAGAGAGCAUCCCCCUCAGUUGUACUCACUCCAUUCAUUGUUU